rnacentral:rRNA from 1 species
AGAGUUUGAUCCUGGCUCAGGACGAAGCUGGCGGCGUGCUUAACACAUGCAAGUCGAGCGGAAAGGCCACUUCGGUGGUACUCGAGCGGCGAACGGGUGAGUAACACGUGAGUAAUCUGCCCUCCACUUUGGGAUAGCCACCGGAAACGGUGAUUAAUACCGGAUAUGACCAGUGCUCGCAUGGGUGUUGGUGGAAAGUUUUUCGGUGGGGGAUGUGCUCGCGGCCUAUCAGCUUGAUGGUGGGGUAAUGGCCUACCAUGGCUUCGACGGGUAGCCGGCCUGAGAGGGUGACCGGCCACACUGGGACUGAGACACGGCCCAGACUCCUACGGGAGGCAGCAGUGGGGAAUAUUGGACAAUGGGCGGAAGCCUGAUCCAGCAACGCCGCGUGAGGGAUGACGGCCUUCGGGUUGUAAACCUCUUUCGGUGGGGACGAAGCGAAAGUGACGGUACCCACUAAAGAAGCACCGGCCAACUACGUGCCAGCAGCCGCGGUAAUACGUAGGGUGCGAGCGUUGUCCGGAAUUAUUGGGCGUAAAGGGCUCGUAGGCGGUUUGUCGCGUCGGGAGUGAAAACCAUGAGCUUAACUCAUGGCUUGCUUUCGAUACGGGCAGACUAGAGGUAUGCAGGGGAGAACGGAAUUCCUGGUGUAGCGGUGAAAUGCGCAGAUAUCAGGAGGAACACCGGUGGCGAAGGCGGUUCUCUGGGCAUUACCUGACGCUGAGGAGCGAAAGUGUGGGGAGCGAACAGGAUUAGAUACCCUAGUAGUCC